rnacentral:rRNA from 1 species
CCCUUAGAUGUUCUGGGCCGCACGCGCGCUACACUGACGAUGUCAGAGAGUGUCUCCUUCACCGACAGGUGUGGGUAAUCUUGCAAACAUCGUCGUGCUGGGGAUAGAUCAUUGCAAUUUUUGAUCUUGAACGAGGAAUUCCUAGUAAGCGCGAGUCAUCAGCUCGCGUUGAUUACGUCCCUGCCCUUUGUACACACCGCCCGUCGCUACUACCGAUUGAAUGGUUUAGUGAGGCUUCCUGACUGGCGCCCAUACUCUGGCAACAGAGCGUGGGAUGCCGGAAAGUUGGUCAAACUUGAUCAUUUAGAGGAAGUAAAAGUCGUAACA